AAAAGGCGCCCAAAAGUGUUCUACAAUUCUCAAGCUUCAAAGGAAGCUAAAAGGAUUUAAAGAAGCACAAGAAGAGGCGGACAUAGAGCCCCAAUCGGUUGUGCAACCGAUCGGACAAACCGAUUGGAAGAGCAGUGAGGUUCAGAUCAGUUGUGCAACCGAUCGGGAUAACCGAGCGGCAAAAUACGGUUUGCAACCGAUCGUCAUGUCUUAGUACUCAAAGAUGAGUACUUCUCGCCCAUCUCCGAAUCUAGCUCGUCCCGGGGCAAAUGUUCCUCGACCAUUCUUCAUAAAAUGGAUGGUUGAGCGACGAAAUUUCAAUAUAGGUCGAGGAAAUAUGUCAUUUGACCGAUGGAAAUGAAGCUAGGGCGUUUCGGGAAGGCUCUCGUCGGACUCCGACAAAUUGGCUCGACCGUUUUCAAAAUUGUUUCGACCAAACAUCAUGAAAUACCCAUAAGUACGGUGAAUCUCGAAGAUGGUACAGGGAAUUAUGAGUUUGGGUCGAAGAAAAUUGAAGAGGUCUUGAAGCGGCACAAGAAGGUGCUAAUACAAAGAAGAAUCAAGCCUAGUCGAUCUCAAGGCUGACCCAAGAGGAAGACCC
rnacentral:lncRNA from 1 species